UACGAAGGGGGCUAGCGUUGCUCGGAAUCACUGGGCGUAAAGGGUGCGUAGGCGGGUCUUAAGUCAGGGGUGAAAUCCUGGAGCUCAACUCCAGAACUGCCUUUGAUACUGAAGAUCUUGAGUUCGGGAGAGGUGAGUGGAACUGCGAGUGUAGAGGUGAAAUUCGUAGAUAUUCGCAAGAACACCAGUGGCGAAGGCGGCUCACUGGCCCGAUACUGACGCUGAUGCGCGAAAGCCAGGGGAGCGAACGGGGAUU
rnacentral:rRNA from 1 species